GGCGCGGGCGGCGGUGGCGGCGGCGGCGGUGGGGCGGGGGUUUCACAGCGCAUGUCCGCCCGCCGCGCCGCCACUAGCCGCUCCCCCCCGCCGCCAAACUCACCACCAUCUUCUGCAUGUGCAACGCUUGCAGCCGGUCAGAAACCGCUCCCCGGCGAUGGAGACUGCGGGAAAAAUCCGGCGCGGCGGCAUGGCUUGCUGAAACGGCAGCAGCGGCCGGAGAGAGGCGGGGCGGCAACGGGAGAGAAUAGCGAACAGAUACUAAAACAAAACAACACGCUAAAAAAAGAGCAAAAAAGGGAAAGAAGGGUGGAAAUCUCUCUUUUUAUUCCCCCCUUCCUCUUUUUUUUUUUUUUUUUUUUAAUUCUUGAUUUUGUUUGUAGCCACCUCGUCCUCAAUGCCUCUCUGAGCAGCAUCUAGCGAGCGAGCGGGAGAAGGCGAGACAGAGAGGCAAAAGAGAAGAUGAGGAUAAUUUGCAGACAGCUUGUCUUGUUGUUUUCUGGCUUUUGGGGACUAGCAAUGGGAGCUUUUCCUAGCAGUGUGCAAAUAGGUGGUCUCUUCAUCAGGAACACAGAUCAGGAAUAUACUGCUUUUCGAUUAGCAAUUUUUCUCCAUAACACCAGCCCAAAUGCAUCUGAAGCACCUUUUAAUUUGGUUCCUCAUGUAGACAACAUUGAAACAGCUAACAGCUUUGCUGUAACAAAUGCCUUUUGCUCCCAGUAUUCUAGAGGUGUUUUUGCCAUUUUUGGACUAUAUGAUAAGAGAUCAGUACAUACCUUGACCUCAUUCUGCAGCGCCUUGCACAUCUCCCUCAUCACUCCAAGUUUCCCCACAGAGGGUGAGAGUCAGUUCGUGCUGCAGCUGCGGCCAUCUCUGCGGGGAGCACUCCUGAGCUUGCUGGAUCAUUAUGAGUGGAACCGCUUUGUCUUCCUGUAUGACACCGAUCGAGGUUAUUCAAUACUUCAAGCUAUUAUGGAAAAAGCAGGACAAAAUAGCUGGCAAGUCAGUGCCAUCUGUGUGGAGAACUUUAAUGAUGCCAGCUACAGGAGGCUUUUAGAAGAUCUGGACCGAAGGCAAGAAAAGAAAUUUGUAAUAGACUGUGAAAUAGAGAGGCUUCAGAAUCUCUUAGAACAGAUUGUGAGCGUGGGAAAGCAUGUUAAAGGAUACCAUUAUAUUGUUGCCAACCUGGGAUUCAAAGAUAUUUCAUUGGAGAGGUUUAUGCAUGGAGGAGCCAAUGUAACUGGAUUUCAGCUGGUAGAUUUCAGUACCCCAAUGGUAACUAAGCUGAUGCAGCGCUGGAAGAAGCUGGACCAGAGAGAAUACCCAGGAUCCGAGACCCCACCAAAGUAUACAUCUGCAUUAACAUACGAUGGAGUACUCGUGAUGGCUGAAACUUUCCGUAAUCUUAGAAGGCAGAAAAUUGAUAUUUCAAGGAGAGGAAAUGCUGGUGAUUGUCUUGCUAACCCUGCAGCCCCAUGGGGUCAAGGAAUUGAUAUGGAGAGGACAUUAAAACAGGUUCGAAUACAAGGAUUGACAGGAAAUGUUCAGUUUGACCACUAUGGUCGCAGAGUCAACUACACCAUGGAUGUCUUUGAGCUGAAAAACACGGGCCCUCGGAAGGUUGGUUACUGGAAUGACAUGGAUAAAUUAGUUUUGAUUCAGCAUGAACCUACACUUGGAAAUGACACUUCAGCCAUUGAGAACAGAACAGUAGUUGUCACUACAAUUUUGGAAGCCCCAUAUGUUAUGUUCAAGAAAAACCAUGAUACGUUUGAAGGGAAUGACAAGUUUGAAGGAUACUGUGUAGAUCUGGCGUCAGAAAUUGCAAAACAUAUUGGUAUCAAGUACAAAAUUGCCAUUGUUCCUGAUGGAAAAUAUGGAGCAAGGGAUCCAGAGACAAAAAUCUGGAAUGGGAUGGUGGGAGAACUUGUUUAUGGGAAAGCAGAGAUUGCUGUUGCGCCUCUGACCAUCACUUUGGUACGAGAAGAGGUCAUUGAUUUUUCCAAGCCUUUUAUGAGUUUGGGGAUAUCCAUUAUGAUCAAAAAGCCCCAGAAAUCUAAACCGGGAGUGUUUUCCUUCUUGGAUCCUUUGGCGUAUGAGAUCUGGAUGUGCAUAGUCUUUGCCUACAUUGGUGUCAGUGUGGUCCUGUUCCUAGUUAGCAGAUUUAGUCCAUAUGAGUGGCACACAGAAGAACCAGAGGAUGGGAAAGAAGGACCCAGUGACCAGCCACCCAAUGAGUUUGGCAUAUUCAACAGCCUCUGGUUUUCCCUGGGUGCCUUUAUGCAACAAGGAUGUGAUAUUUCCCCAAGAUCCCUCUCAGGUCGCAUUGUUGGAGGUGUCUGGUGGUUCUUCACGCUCAUCAUUAUUUCAUCCUACACUGCUAACCUCGCUGCUUUCUUGACUGUUGAGCGAAUGGUCUCACCCAUAGAAAGUGCAGAAGACCUUGCCAAACAAACUGAAAUUGCUUAUGGGACACUGGACUCAGGGUCAACCAAAGAGUUCUUCAGAAGAUCAAAAAUAGCAGUGUAUGAAAAGAUGUGGACCUACAUGAAAUCAGCUGAGCCAUCAGUGUUCACUAGGACUACUGCAGAGGGAGUAGCUCGUGUCCGCAAAUCCAAGGGCAAGUUUGCCUUCCUGCUGGAGUCCACCAUGAAUGAAUACAUUGAGCAACGAAAGCCAUGUGACACCAUGAAAGUGGGAGGAAAUCUGGAUUCGAAAGGCUAUGGCGUAGCCACACCGAAGGGUUCUCCAUUAAGAAAUGCUGUUAACCUCGCAGUUUUAAAACUGAAUGAACAAGGCCUCUUGGACAAAUUGAAAAACAAAUGGUGGUACGACAAAGGAGAAUGUGGCAGCGGGGGAGGUGACUCCAAGGUUAGCCUCAAUGUCACCAAAAGCGGGUAAACAGUAUGUAAUGUAAUUGGUGCAUCUGCUGGGGUUUUACCUGUGACAAAACAGCCUCACCAGUAGCACAGCACUGCUGGUACUUGCAGCUGAAAUCUAGGUGUAUGCAAUUACUGUCAAAGCAAAAAUAUUUGCAUUUUUUAAGCGUCCCAAGGGGAACCUGUAAACAGCCUCUGCUGUGAGAUCACCAGUUUUCAGAAACCUGCAUCUUCUGAAAUCAUGAUGAGCCUUUUACAAGCUUGCUCUAGUGAACAAGCAGUUUGAAACCUUCAGGACCCACUGACAGCUCAGACUUUUUUCCUAGUAUGUGGUACUACCCAAAAUAUUUUUCAGUGACAGUAGAGGAAAAGGGUGAACACCAGUCUGACUGCCUCCUAGCAGUAGUCUAAUGCAUGGUCCAGGCUCAGGGAUCCACUAUUCACACAAACAAUACCAGUGCAAAUCACAAUUUUCACAUGAGCAUAGAAAUUGGAGGACAGUUUUCAGCUAAAAUAUCUUCACUCUGGCAUUUCCUUAUGUCUUACCAGCAAACUGAAAUCCAUGGUGGUUCCCUAGGCAGAAUUUAUCAGACAGGAAUUUUAGGCUGAGGUGAUGACAGCUUCUUAGUCUUCCUGCAUUUCCAUAUUUUCCAUAUGGCCAUUGCCACUACUUCCUUGCCUCCACACAGCUUCCUUUUGGGAAACUGCCUUGUGCUGAAAAGAAGCAAAAAUGUGGAAGAUGGUGAAGUGAAGGAGGAUGAAGCUAUUAAAAAUAUGCCUUCUGUGCCAGGCAGCAUAUAAUCAUAUUUAUUUAUGUGCUUGUGUGUAAACAAUAUAUAAGAGAAUGCUGCACAGGUAACCGUGCAAGCACAGAGCUAGUCAGAUACAGAUUAAAUUUGACUGAAUUGUUAUACACAGUUUAUACAGUUUUCUUUACAGUUGCCUACAUAUGUUUUUUUCUUACUAUUUUCUCUCCUUCUUUAGUCCUCCUGCUCUUUCAUGCUGUGUUCUGGCCUCAGGGACCAUCCCUUGGGCUGUUCUGCACUCACCCAGAACUGCUCUCCUAAUCCUCUUCACUUUGUCUUUAGUCCUGCUGCUCUACCUGUUUUCCCCCCACCGCUCUGCUUGCCAGCAGUCACAGUUUCAAAAAUGGUCUCUAUUUUCUCUUCUAAAGUGCUUAGACAUAUUAGACCUGAUGGCACUUACCUGCGAGUGGAGCAGACACCAACUUCUUGUAAGAAUAUUGACAAGUGAACCAUAAAUCUCCUGUGUUGCUACUAUUAUGUGCUCCACCCAAGCCUGAACUUUGGAUUAUUGAUGGAGGGCUUUUUAUUGUAAUUUUUUUUUUAAUGUCACAGGCAGGGAUUCAUAUAAUUAAAAUACCUCAAUUUUCUUAGAAUACACUCCUCACAAACCUCCUGUGAUUGCAGGGUGAGAUAAAAGCUAGGUUGCAAACCAAGGAUGCUUAAAAAUUACUUUCCCCAAUUACCACCCACUGGUGCUUUGGGUCAUGGAGCAGAAGGGGAACAGCUCAUGGUAGAGGGAUGGGCAGGGCUUCACCAAGGAAAUGUCUGGAAGUGCUGAAAGAGCAAGUUUGGAGUGAUGGCAAGUGACAGAAAAAGGAGUGGAAGAAAAAAGUAGAAGGAGUGCAGUCCAUGGAGAAACAGGGAGGACCUGUGAAUGCAGGAGGGAGGAAGGAACACAAUGCCAAUGGAAACAAGCAAUAAAUGCCACAGGUAGUUCAGGAUGCAAUAGAAAAUAUGGUGGGCAAGGCAGUGUUGGCAAAGGAUGUUGAACAUGAUGGAGCUCAACCUGUGGUCCUAGGACUAUAUGCAGCCUGCCAAGAGCAUUCAUCUGACCUCAGGCCUGUUACUUGCCACACUUUUUCCCAGGCACAGCUGAGUGAGUAGGCAGUAUCAGUGCUCCUGGGCAGCCCUGGGUCUGUCUGCACCUGCAGUGACCAUAUUCAUGGAACCACCACAGCAUGGAGAUGAGCAGGCAUUACCCUGCUUCUCAGAUUCUGCAUUGCAGCAGCAUCUGGUCUUAAAUUUUAAACUACAGCUACUCUGACUUCCCAAACUGUUAGCUAGCCAUUUAUCAUCUGCAAAAUUCAUUUCCUUGUUCAGGAACAGUCUUGUACAAUCUGAUCAAUUAAAGUCAAUAAGACCCUUUCUACUGAAUUAAUGGAGCUCUAAAUAUUUUAAUUUUAUAUGCUAGCAAAUGAUCAUUAGUGGAAUAACCAGGACACCAUGCACUGUUGUUGUAAACCAACAAUUCCUGAACUAAGCUCUUGAGCAUCUCUAGCUAAUAUUUCUUUUCACUGUAUGAAUUUAAAAAGAACAAACCCUGAGCUUUGUUAGCAGCUCCAGUCCAAAUUGCAGGGCUCCCUACUGUCAUGAAUGAGAGUAAGAACAUCCUCUUCUCCUGAAAUACGGGACCUGAGACUUUUCUGAUAACUGUGCUGUUACUAUUUGAGAUUCAUUAGUCAGAAUAUGAGUCUAGACCCAGAAUAACCCUUCAUGAUAGUAUAGACGACUACAGAAAUAGGGGAGAUUCAUGAGGGCUCAGCAGUUCUCCAAAGGUUUGUGUUGCUCUGAAAAAUGAGGUUUCUCCUACCUCCAUUCUGUGCUCUUAGAAGGUCAUCUCUAGCCUCCUGAUUUACUGUUUCCUUUAAGGAACAAUCUUCCAAAAUUCAGAAAGACAGUUCAGAGAGCUGCCCUGUGUAAACCACCCUGUGGUUUAGUGACCUCAGUAAUUAAGUCACGUUUGAAGACAAAACUGAGGUCCCCAAGUCCUUUGAGUGCUUUUGAAAGUAUUACCUCAGAUCUUAAUUGAGGUAAUCAUCAUUUCAUGUGAUGCAUGGGGCGAUAUUUAAACCCAGUUUCUGCCAGUCUGCUCCAAUUGUAUUUAGGAAAGUGUGAGUGGAAGGAAGCUGUGCUGAUGUAGCUCUCCUCCAUUUUCUGCUGGCAGCCCUCAAGAGAACACGCUGGCCCUUGUUUUUCAUUCAGCGGAUGAGACUGACCUUACACUUAAUUAAUGGCUCAGCCAUGAGUGCGUAAUGAAAAUGCUCCAAAAGCAUACUCGUGAUUGCAUUUUUAAAAUCCCAAUCUACCAAAAUUCUGCAUUGGCUUCAGAAUCGCUCAGCAUUGUAAUUUAAAUGCUCUAAUUGCCCAUUUGUUGUCCUGAACACAACUAUCUCAGAACUUCAUUAAUGCUAUUUUAAAGUACUGUGAUUUCACUGAUGUUGCUGGCACAAGAUCCAGCCCGAGGCACUUAAAAACCAGCGCUUCCAAUAGCAAGUGAUUGAUGACAGGGAUAGGAGGAAAUGAGUAAAAAGAUGAGAGAGGAGGUAGUAAGGCUGGGAACGUGAUGAAAAUAUAGAAAACCAGUGUUCCCACACCCAGGUCAUGCUGCACCACCACUGUCUUCAGCACAUGGAUGAAGAACAGUCUCCUGUGCUGCCACACAACAGUUUUGCACUGUGGCUACAUGGGACAAAUUCUUCUCUGUAUAUAAAGAGUAAUUUUAGUUAUUAUUUCUCAUACAUUAUCCUUGCAUGAAUUUGAGGCAGAUGGAUCCUGUUUAUAUAUAACAAUGGAGAUUUUAGGCAGAUGUACAUUGGAAAAACUACACUGAUUUUUCACAAACUGCCAAUUUACUCCAGUUGAAGAUUAAGCCCAACAUUAGUAACUCAGGAAUUACUAAACAACUUAAAAAAUCUACAGUCAUUUUCCAUUGUAAUACUAAGUAUAAAAGACUGAACUUGAUGGGUAAUUUUAAUUCUAGAUGCUGUAUUUACCUCUGUAUAUGACUUAAGUACAUUGCUCUGCAAAGAAGAAAAAGUCCCUACCUGUAUCAGACUUUAUAUUCCUGAACUGUUAGUGCCGAAAAAACAAAUGAAGGACUGGGAGACAUCUGUUUUCUGACUUGCCCCAGCUUGCUGCUGGUCUUGAUAGCCCAUAUCAAGUCCUAAUUAUCACUUUAUUCAUCUUAACCUGCAACAACUCCAAAGGCUUCUGAUUUUCCAUGUGAGAACAGUACCUGCAUGUCCCUUAUAUUUGUCAUAACCAACCCUGUUGUUACACUGUAGGGAUUUAGAAGCACCGAAGUGUGGCCCAGUGCCAAUACAAUACAUAUUACAGAUGAUGGCUAUCCAAAUAGUGUUAAUUAUUUCAUGCUUGUACUAGAAGCAAACAUAGGAUCAUGUUGACAGGCAACUUGCCAGCAUCUCAAACUGCUACCCACUGAUUUCACAGCUGUGGGACUCUCAUACUGCACUAUCAACCUGCACAACCUGCCAGGGAGCCUGAAGACAAAAUGUAAGUUUGAAUACUGGAAAAGAUCAAGAAAAAAACAUGUUCUGUUCCAGAAGCAGAGUAUUCCAUAUGAAUUGAAUGUGUAGGCUCUGGAAAGCGGAUGAAGCAUUUCCCUUACAUACAGGGAUCAUUGAGAGUACCUGGGAAUCUUCUCAACAGUGGCUGUCAAAAAUUGUCAUUUCUCCAAAGCACCAAGGCUUCCUCAGUAUUAGAAGAGGAAAGAUGGGCAUUUCAACAGCAUGCUUCAUCCUUUGUUAAAACUGGUAUCUAAGCCCACCUUUUGAAGGUACCUAUCUUUUUCUCUUAAUUGCAGGGAGGCCUAGAGAGGCAGCCAAGGCUUGGGGUAUAAUUUAUGGGUGAAAAAACUGAGGUGAGGUAAAUUCCCCCCUUUAUGUAUAUAUACAAAUAGUAAUCAGAAUGUAUGAAAAGUCAGGAUCCCUAAAGCUAAGAGUAGCACAUGAGGUUCAGGAGAUGUUAUUCGUGCAUUAAAUGUAUAUAUACAAACCUGCACAAAUAUAUGAACAUUUGGGGAUUUCCAGUUAAAUCAGUUACAUAGUGUAGCAAUCCCUUUUCUCUUUUGUAGUAAAUACUUUAGUAGGCUCAGUUACACUAUACUAAUUAAUGCUUGCACUGGUUCUUUAUUUAUUAAGCCUUGAAUUCAUGAGUUAACAUUUUAGCAAUGCAUGGAUUAUGGUGUAUUAUGAGAGAUUAAUUUUCCCAUAGUAAUCUGCUCAGGUCUUAUGUCUUAUAACAUCACCAGAAGACUAUCUGUCACAUGCUAUUUCUGUUUAUCUACCUCCUUCUCUGAUAUAUAUUGUAUUUUCCUGCACACCUGCACAUAAAUAGAUAUCCAUAUACCUACCACAUUGAGAAUUGGACAGUCGGUGAUUCAAAGUGGAAAGUACAUACAAUAAGUCUGUUAAUAAUUUCCUAGAUUCUUAGAAAAAAUUGGUACAACUGCUUGAAGUGGAGAAUUACCAUAAUAUUCUGAGAUUAUUCACUGAGUUUAAAUAACUUCAGUGCAAACCCAUAGUAGUUCAUGGCUCUGAGGCAUCAGAUUAGGUUUCAUCUCAAUAUUAAACUCUGUUACAUCACCCAGCAGCAAAUACCACUAGUAAGAGAAGAUAUUCCAAGUAGUAAUUUAUCAUCACCGUGAUACUGUUGAAAGACUUAUGUGAAUAAGUGAGAUAUAAAGAAAACUUUGAAUUUGAAAAUAUUGAAACAGGAAAUGGAAAUAAAAGAUGGACUGUCAUGUUCUUCUUAGCUGAGAAUAAGGGCAUCACAGCUCUCCCCCGAAGUUCUCUGCAUGUAGACCUCCUAAUUACAGGUCUGUGCCAAGUGGUUAUGAGCAGCAAACUGCACAAAGCAUCUCCAUUCUCAUGGCAGGAUAAUUUUGAGGGCAGUAAAUGAAAUAGCUAUAGCCAAGUCAUGUUAUUAGUUUGUAUGCAUGCAAACUAAAAUUAGAUUGAAAACAAGGAACACAAAUGCAUAUGUUUUUUAAGACAUAUAUCUAGUUAUAUUAUGUAUGUCUCUGAAAGGUAUGUUGUUAAUAUGUCUUAAGCCAAUAGUUUUGGGUUCACAGUAAUUGCAUACUAUUUAUUUACAAAUCUUCCCCAGCAGUAUGUGCCUGUUACCUAAAGCGAUGGAGCAGGUCCCGGUCAUAUGUCUGUCUCUAAACCUGGGCCAACAGUACAUGACAUAGCACCCACUGUGGCCUCUGCUCUGUCACUUUGCAAUGCGAUUCUAUGUAGUUUUACUUGAAUAACAUAAAAUAACAUAUAUAAUGUUAUUUAUGUUAUUUUCCACGUGAAGAACUCCUGUAAACCUUGCCGUUUUGAAACUCAGUGAGGCAGGCGUCUUAGACAAGCUGAAAAACAAAUGGUGGUACGAUAAAGGUGAAUGUGGACCCAAGGACUCUGGAAGUAAGGACAAGACGAGUGCCUUGAGUCUCAGCAACGUUGCUGGAGUCUUCUACAUUCUGGUUGGAGGCUUGGGCUUGGCAAUGCUGGUGGCUUUGAUAGAGUUCUGUUACAAGUCCAGGGCAGAGGCGAAACGAAUGAAGCUUACCUUUUCUGAAGCCAUAAGAAACAAAGCCAGAUUAUCCAUCACAGGGAGUGUGGGAGAAAACGGACGCGUAUUGACUCCCGACUGCCCGAAGGCCGUGCAUACUGGAACUGCAAUUAGACAAAGUUCAGGAUUGGCUGUAAUUGCAUCGGACCUACCAUAAAAACCAAAAAAAUAAUUGAGUGCCUUAAUCAAACUGUGUUGGUGACUGAUGGGAACACAGCACAGACUGUAAUGACAUGGGAGCGCCAUUGAUGAACUAAUAAUUUGGCUGAGAAAGGGAAGUACGUCCAAAUGCGCCAGACAUCAUCAGCAACAAUGUGUGCAUGAGCUCAGCUCGGAAACCCAAACUCAGAUUUUAUAUCAGGAAAAUUCAUAAUUUAGUUUUGUUGGGGGGAGGGGGCUGGGAAGGGUGUAUUAACAGCAACAAAUUUCACUUGAGUGGACUUAAAACUAAUAAGACUUGCCAAUUUAGCGCAUUAAACUGUGAAGAACAUGCUCAGAAUUGACGACAUUUUGGUCUUUUUCUUGACAAAGAGAGAAAAAUAGCUAUAGAAGUCAAUGAACAUGCUAACCUGUGUCUCCAGAACAUCAGUAUAUACAAUGGAGGAAUACUCAGCUGUUCGGCUGUAGAAAUGAAUCACUAAACUGUGAUAAGAAAAUAAUAAAUAUGUAAAUCCUGUGAAAAAAUAAAGAAAUUAUUUACAUUUUCUUUGAAAAAAGAGGAAUAUUGAAACAUGCUUGCUUUUUAACUGAUGUAAAUUCGGUAGAGGACAACACAAUUCUUUUUUCUAACCAUCUUAGGGAACAAUUCAUUGCAAUAAUUGAUAUAAAAUGCCAUCACUGUAAUAAAAUUCAGAGACUUUUUUUUUAUAAAAGGUGUUGGUCAUCCUCUUGUUUGCUGUUACCUUCAUUCUGUUCCAUCAUUCCGUGUUCCACAGAUUUGCAUCUGUCUAAUACAAGAAACAAAAUGAUAAAAUGUUUAGAGUACGUCAUCAGUCUGCAGUGUAGAAUCAAAAGAGACUACGGGUCACUCAUGUUACAGAUAUUAUUUAUAAUCUUGUUCUGUGUAAGAAACUGUGGUUUUUGUACCCACCAAAAAGAAUAAAACAACAAACGUUCUUAUAAUAUUGACAGA